AGGACAUGGGCCUUAUUAUCUGUAACCCCAGUGUCAAAGUAUUUCUGUGUGUGUCUUGGGCAGAGGCAGGGAAACCUCCAGAGAAAACAUGGGCAAAGGUUUCUGUUUUGUCAUGUGAAAAAAAUCUGAUGAAUACCACAGAGUACUGCCUGACAGACCUGCAUGAGAGCCGUAUCUGUUGUUUUCCAUUCUCCCUGGGGGGACAGUAG
rnacentral:lncRNA from 1 species